CAAGCUCUUCUUGCAGGGCAGCUGCUGGAGGCAGUUCCACCAGAGAGGCAAAACCCUUGUGGUUGCGGGAGCAGAACAAGGACUUCUUUCAGUUCCUUCUAGACACUUGAGAAUAAGGAAGAGUGCAGAAAGGCUGUGCUGGGCCUUAAAUUCACCUUCAGGAACAACUCUUGGCCCAAGCUGCCUUAUCACAAAGAAUGAUAGCAGCACAUCACUGCAGGAGAGCUUGGAGUUGCUACUGCAGUCCCAGAACAAUAUCCCAAUGCUGAGAGUAGGAAAAUUCAGAGUGACAGGUGCUUCAUAGCUCUACAAGGACCAGGGUGCUGUGGGAGAAGACACAAGGGAUGUGCUGGAGUUGUGGAGACCUCCCUGGGCAGAGAGGAAGCCUUGCCAGCACCUGGCUGUCCUAAGCAUCCAUUUAUAGAUCUGAAAUCCUAGUUUAAUUCCAUAAGGAGUCUCAAGGCUGUGGAUUCUCCAGAAGAACCUAUUUCUUCUACAACCAGAGGCUGAACAAGAGUGCACCAUUAUAGAAGUUUAAAUAAACCACAUAAGGUCAUCUGCUGCUUAAAUCCUCGCUACCAGGUCUAGAGAUAUUUUUGCUUUGUUUCCAGGCGAGCUCAGAGUCCCAGUGCCAAAGGGCAACAUGUAAAUUGUGCUGUUAUUCUGAAGCAUGCAAGGUAAUAAAUGGUGCUGUCAAUUGUUUUCACUCCAGUGACAGAUUUAUUCUCUUCAAGACAAAUGACCAGGAAUGGCUAUUAUUGCAAAAAAUUCACUGUGUAUCAUCUUGUGCCUGUUGUUUAACAAAUAAUGCUAAGUCUAAUUGCCUUCCUCUGUGGCCAACUACCUAUGAGUUAAUGGUUUUUUUUAUUGAAGACGUGUAAUUUACCAUUGCUUUUGAUGUGCCAUCUGAUUGAAUGUCUCUGUGAAUCACAUCUGCAAUCUAACACUGUGUAUCCCAGAGGAAUACCCCUUAUCCCAUUGUUUUCUCCUGAGCUGGGUAAAAACAGUGUUAAUUUUUUUUUUUUUUUUAAACACAAACUAUUAAGCUUCUGUUUCCUGAUUUCUAGGCUGACAUUCCUUCUCCUGGCAGAUGCACUAAAGUUUAAUAAAUCAGUUGCAUGUG